UCUCACUCAGAUCCAUACAGCUG
rnacentral:miRNA from 1 species